rnacentral:rRNA from 1 species
GAUGAACGCUGGCGGCGUGCCUAAUACAUGCAAGUCGAGCGAACAGAUGAGGAGCUUGCUCCUUUGACGUUAGCGGCGGACGGGUGAGUAACACGUGGGUAACCUACCUAUAAGACUGGGAUAACUUCGGGAAACCGGAGCUAAUACCGGAUAACAUUUGGAACCGCAUGGUUCUAAAGUGAAAGAUGGUCUUGCUGUCACUUAUAGAUGGACCCGCGCCGCAUUAGCUAGUUGGUAAGGUAACGGCUUACCAAGGCAACGAUGCGUAGCCGACCUGAGAGGGUGAUCGGCCACACUGGAACUGAGACACGGUCCAGACUCCUACGGGAGGCAGCAGUAGGGAAUCUUCCGCAAUGGGCGAAAGCCUGACGGAGCAACGCCGCGUGAGUGAUGAAGGUCUUCGGAUCGUAAAACUCUGUUAUUAGGGAAGAACAAACGUGUAAGUAACUGUGCACGUCUUGACGGUACCUAAUCAGAAAGCCACGGCUAACUACGUG